GACGAACGCUGGCGGCGUGCUUAACACAUGCAAGUCGAGCGGUAAGGCCCUUUCGGGGGUACACGAGCGGCGAACGGGUGAGUAACACGUGGGUGACCUGCCCUCAGCUCUGGGAUAAGCCUGGGAAACUGGGUCUAAUACUGGAUAUGACUCCACGGUGCAUGUCGUGGGGUGGAAAGCCUUGUGCGGCUGAGGAUGGGCCCGCGGCCUAUCAGCUUGUUGGUGGGGUGANGGCCUACCAAGGCGACGACGGGUAGCCGGCCUGAGAGGGCGACCGGCCACACUGGGACUGAGACACGGCCCAGACUCCUACGGGAGGCAGCAGUGGGGAAUAUUGGACAAUGGGCGCAAGCCUGAUCCAGCGAUGCCGCGUGAGUGAAGAAGGCC
rnacentral:rRNA from 1 species